GAGAUGGCACUUUGAGCAGGUUUUUCAUUUGUCUUGUUGUAGACUUUGUAAUUCAAUGAUCCUUGCUCUUAUUAAUGCAUUUGAAAUGUUGGCUAUUAAUUGGUGAGCUAUUACCUAUAAAAAAAAAGAUUGGUGCGCUGGAUUUACCUAUUGAUUCACAUUUCUCAUUUUUGUUUCGUAUGCAUCUAAAGUUGAUUUUGUUGGUUGGAUGAUUGCAGGUAUUGUUUACCAGAAUGUU
rnacentral:misc_RNA from 1 species